rfam:Populus trichocarpa isolate Nisqually-1 chromosome 13, whole genome shotgun sequence.
UAAUCUAUUUAUGACAAAUCCUUCUUUAGUUAUGGCGGAUCCAUACUUAUCUACUCAUAAUCUCUGUUAUCCCAAGCCCGGCUACAUUAGUGUAAUUGGAUUUUGUGAUUUUAAAAGAUUGUGUUUUCACUUGAGA